rnacentral:Y_RNA from 1 species
AGCUGGUCCAAGUGCAGUAGUGUUUUCAACUAACUAAUCACGACCAGUUACAGAUUCCUUUCUUCCUUCUCCAAUCCUACUCCUUCACUUGACUAGCCUAAA